rnacentral:rRNA from 1 species
CGGCAUGCCUUACACAUGCAAGUCGAACGGCAGCACGGGGGGCAACCUGGUGGCGAGUGGCGAACGGGUGAGUAAUGCAUCGGAACGUGCCCAUCGAUGGGGGAUAACUGCGCGAAAGCGUUGCUAAUACCGCAUACGACCUACGGGUGAAAGCAGGGGACCGCAAGGCCUUGCGUCGAUGGAGCGGCCGAUGCCGGAUUAGCUAGUUGGUGAGGUAAAGGCUCACCAAGGCGACGAUCCCGUAGCUGGUCUGAGAGGACGACCAGCCACACUGGGACUGAGACACGGCCCAGACUCCUACGGGAGGCAGCAGUGGGGAAUCUUGGACAAUGGGCGAAAGCCUGAUCCAGCAAUGCCGCGUGUGGGAAGAAGGCCUUCGGGUUGUAAACCACUUUUGGCGGGAAAGAAAUGGUCUGUGCUAAUACCACGGAUUGAUGACGGUACCCGCAGAAUAAGCACCGGCUAACUACGUG